rnacentral:rRNA from 1 species
UACGUAGGGGGCAAGCGUUGUCCGGAUUUAUUGGGCGUAAAGAGCGUGUAGGCGGCCGUACAGGUCAGCUGUGAAAACUCGAGGCUUAACCUCGAGCUGUCGGCGGAAACCAUCUGGCUAGAGUCCGGAAGAGGAGAAUGGAAUUCCCGGUGUAGCGGUGAAAUGCGCAGAUAUCGGGAAGAACACCCGUGGCGAAGGCGGUUCUCUGGGACGGUACUGACGCUGAGACGCGAAAGCGUGGGGAGCGAACAGG